rnacentral:rRNA from 1 species
AAUACGGAGGGUGCAAGCGUUAAUCGGAAUUACUGGGCGUAAAGCGCGCGUAGGCGGUUUUUUAAGUCGGAUGUGAAAGCCCCGGGCUCAACCUGGGAACUGCAUCCGAUACUGGAUGACUAGAAUGCGGGAGAGGGAGGUAGAAUUCCAUGUGUAGCAGUGAAAUGCGUAGAUAUAUGGAGGAAUACCAGUGGCGAAGGCGGCCUCCUGGCUCGACAUUGACGCUGAGGUGCGAAAGCGUGGGGAGCAAACGGGAUUAGAUACCCCGGUAGUCCACGCCGUAAACGAUGUCUACUAGCUGUAGGGGUACUUGAGACCUUUGUAGCGCAGCUAACGCAAUAAGUAGACCGCCUGGGGAGUACGGCCGCAAGGUUAAAACUCAAAUGAAUUGACGGGGGCCCGCACAAGCAGUGGAGCAUGUGGUUUAAUUCGAUGCAACGCGAAGAACCUUACAGGCCUUGACAUCCCCGGAACUUUCUAGAGAUAGAUUGGUGCCUUCGGGAACCGGGUGACAGGUGCUGCAUGGCUGUCGUCAGCUCGUGUCGUGAGAUGUUGGGUUAAGUCCCGUAACGAGCGCAACCCUUGUCCUUAGUUGCCAGCACAUUAUGGUGGGAACUCUAAGGAGACUGCCGGUGACAAACCGGAGGAAGGUGGGGACGACGUCAAGUCAUCAUGGCCCUUACGGCCUGGGCUACACACGUGCUACAAUGGCUAGGACAGACGGCCGCAAACCAGCGAUGGGGAGCUAAUCCGACAAACCUAGUCGUAGUCCGGAUUGGAGUCUGCAACUCGACUCCAUGAAGUCGGAAUUGCUAGUAAUCGCGAAUCAGAAUGUCGCGGUGAAUACGUUCCCGGGCCUUGUACACACCGCCCGUCACACCAUGGGAGUGGGUUGCUCCAGAAGUGGUUAGUCUAACCUUCGGGAGGACGAUCACCACGGAGUGAUUCAU